ACGACCUUACUUGAACAGGAUCUGUUCUAUAGGAUCGUACUUCUGAAUCCUUGUGUUCUAAGGAGACAGGACCCAAAAUCUGGUGGAUGACUCAUGGCCGCUUGACCAGAGCGUGAUUAAUGGCUCUGUGGUUCAGUUCGUCUGGUUCACAGAUCCGCAGAGGAUCGUUCUCAGCUGGUUUGAACCGGCUGCGAUGGUCAAGCGGUUGUCUGACAGAUU